rfam:Aedes albopictus isolate Foshan contig26129, whole genome shotgun sequence.
UGUUCUGUGGCUUAGUUGGUUAAAGCGCCAGACUAGCUAUACGGAGUCAUGGGUUCGAGUCCUACCAAAACAA